GGCGUUUGCAGGAACCUCAGGAGCGUUUGCUUGUGCUCUUCCCAUGUGACCUCCUCAUUCUGUCUCUCGACUGUCAUCAUGUACGUGUGAAAUAUGAGGGUCGUCUGCCACUUAAGAGCAUUAAAGCCAUGGAAAGAUCUGCACUACCUGGCAGACUGGAGUUUGAACUCACGGGUGAACUGAUGGAGCCUCUGCUCGUCUCCUGUACAUACCCUGAGGACUAUCAAAGCUGGAUCUUCCAGUUACAACAGCCUGAUAAAGUGGCAGAUUCAUUGCCACAUCAUACCCCUCCACCUCUGAUACCGAAGAAGCGCAGAAGCUGAGGAUGAUGUGACGAAUGGAAAUUAAAAUGGCUGUGAACUCCAUAUAUUGUGCCCAAUGAAAGCUGCUGAUUACAAAUGAACAUUUUACUGUUGCAUUUCACUCCUAAGUAACAAAUCUCUUCACUGCUUGUGAGGAAGGAUCUUCAAUAGCUAGGAAAUUUGCAGGUUUAGAUAGUAAUUAUUACAGUCUGCUCCAUAAAUAUCUGUUUUGAGGUAGGGAACAGGCCUCACAUGC
rnacentral:lncRNA from 1 species